GGAUUGUUUGUGCCUCUGUCAAUACACUGUUUCUUUUUUGAAGGCUUGUCAUAUUUUAAAGUUAUUCUUCCUUUUAAAGUUUUUUUUUUUUAGCCUUGGAAUGAGUCAUACAUUAUUUUAUUUUGUUUUCUUUUGUUUUACUUAUUAUUAUGGGAAAUGUGGAACACACACAAAUAGCAUAGUAUAAGGAACACCCAUGGAUCCAUCACCUGGUUUUAACAAUUGUGACCUCAUAGACAUUCCUGUUUUUUUCUAUACAGCCGCCUACGAUUCUCCACCUACUCCCCCCCCGCUGCCAUUAGGUAAUUUUGAAGCAAAUCACAGACAUCAUUCAUGCCAAGAGGGGACAAAAGCUGAAUUAUAAGCCCACACAAUUUAUGGUUCUUCAGGUUUGCCACUUGGAUGUCUACAACCGUGUCAACUCACUACUAAGUCAGCUGCAAAUUAGUCGGUUCCCAACCUAAUAUUUGGUGUACAAAUGAGGGCACCGUGCUCUGUAAAGUUGUUCUUGCACAGUUGCGUCUGCCUCAGCAGGGAAAAUGUCAGAGCAGAGAAGAGGAGGGACUGGGGAGAGAGACGGCUCUGCAGACACGGUAUCAUCCAGAGGGGCUGAACUGUGUGAUCUCUAACAUACGGGCUCAGACUAUGGGCUGGAACUGGGGUGCCCAGGUUCAAAUCCCAGCUUCAUCAUCUGAAAGCUGAGUGACCUUGACAAAUUCCUUAGCUCUCCAUGCCUCCUUUCCCUUACUUGUAAAACCCCAAUCUCACUGUGUUAUGAGCAUUAAAUUAGUGAAUAUAUCGAAGUACGUCAAAUAGUGCCCAGCACGCAGUAAGUACCUGACAAAUGUUAAAUGUUACUAUUACUAUUAGAUGAUCUUACCUCGGAGGAAAUAUUGUGUGCACUGGAGAGAAAGAAUGGAGGCGAUUUGUCUAAGGAUUGUGGGCUUUGACUAGGGAAUAAAUAGCAGAAAGGAAAGAAACUAAUAUUUAAAUAAUUAUGUAUUCCUAUUCACUAAAUAAGAGAUGAUACACAUGAGGACUCAAAAAAUAUUUUCUCUAGGAGUGAAUAAUCCUGAGAAGUAAGGUGUUUUGUUUUGUUUUUUUAAUUUCUAUUUUUUAGAAGAGGAGUCUGAAGAUCAGAGAGGUUAAGUAACUUGCUUGAACUGGGUGUUGUAUGGAAACCAAUUUGACAAUAAAUUUCAUAUUAAAACAAAAAAAAAGUAACUUGCUUGAGAUCACACAGCUACCAGUGGCUGACCUGGGAUUGGAGCCCAGGUCUCCACAGUCCUGAAUCCUGUCCCUUCCUUUACACCAUAAUGCUCCCCAGAGGUUAGCCAGGAAAGGGAUACUAACACAUCCACCAGAAUGACAGUUGUCUCCUGCUUGGUGACAGCUGCAGGGCACCAGAGCAGGGCCAGCACCAAGUGCUGCCAGGGUGCCCCUUCAUCACCAGCUGCUGCCCUCCCCUCCCCUCCAGCUGCUACUAUCAUCCAAACCUCCCGCUCACCCCACUCAGCCCUCUCGGCUAACAUGACCAAUGCCAGGACUGGAUGGGCCUGAUAUGAGGAUGUUUUGCAUGCAUAAUUAGCAGGUAAAUAGCUGACCCUCAGCUGGUAUAAGGCAGGUAUUGGGUAUGUUUGUCUUUGGCUCCCAGCCAAGAAGAACACAUGCCUGACUGCCCCUCCCUCUGCACGUCCUGCCCCCUCUGCUCCUUAACCUCCCUGCUUCAUGAAGACCAAAAGACCCAGUUGGCUUAGACAUUCUUGUAAAUGGCAAUUCUCUUGCUAAUCAGUGUGUUAGUUGUCAGGGAGGUGAGAAAAGCGCAGACAGGCCCUCCCUUGGGGAGUUCACAUGUAACUGGGGAGAAGGCCAUCCUACUGGGAUACAGCCACGUGGAGGUGCUCCCAGGGGAGCCAGACUGGUGGGAGGUAGGAGGGAGAGGGGGGUGGCUCAGUCUCCAAGAGAAAGCUCCUCAGAGAAGGCGAUUUUUGAGCUGGGGAGAAGUCUGAGGGACUCAAGGAAGGGCAAAAUAGAGACAACCACAGAUACAAGGCCCAGGGUCAGGAAGGAGCAGGGGACUUCUGGUGGGCAGAUAGCAUAGGGCGCCUGGGGAGGACGGCAGCUGUGGAAGGGCCUGUGUGCCCCACUCAGGGGCCCAGACAACCCCGAGGGCCCAGGAGCCAGGGAGACUUUAAGGAGGGGAGCCGUGUAGCUGGAUCGGGUCUGGAGUUGUGUUCAAGAUGCUGCAGUGUGGGUGAUAGAUUUAUGGAAGAGGUGCAGUCAGGAGGCUGUCUCCCCAGUUUGUCUCUAGGGGCCCAGUCUCCUCUGCUGUGGGUGACAGAGGGAGAAUUGAAGAGAAGUUAUUGAAGCGAGUAUGAAAACUCAGGCCAAGAAUCAUACUCAGGUUUCUAGUGGAGAGAUUGCGCUGGUGGUGACCAUUUAAUGGAGGUAGGAAAGGUCACAUUAGGACACAUGUGAGCUUUGGCUCACAACCCAACAGGGUAAUGGGGACAAAAGUCUGCUCUCUUCCAAAAAGCACCCAUAAGGGAAGUCCCGUCUCAGAGCCUAAGCAGGGAGGGUGCUCAGAGGGAGAGAUGGCCGCUGGAAUCAUUCAUCCCUUCAUCUCUUUGGCCAUUGAGUGCCUGCUGCAAGCAGGGAACUAGAUGUAAGGCAGGCAGAAGUAGAAGAGCCAGCGCCUGUCCUCCAGAGGCUUGCAGAGUCACUGAGAAGGAGGACAGAUAAACGGGAAAGCAUGUUAGGGUAUGAUCCAUGCAAUGGUAAAAACGAGAUAGGAAAAUGAUGGGGUCAGGGAAGACUUCCUGGAGGAGGCGGUAUCUGAGUUGAGUCUUGAGAGAUUUGUAGAAGUUGACUGAAAUAUAGAACCUGUACCUUCCAGCAGAGGAAACAGCCUGUGUAAAAGUGUGGGGAGGAAGCAGGAUGGGACUAGAAGGAGAUUCAGGGAGCAGGUGGUCCUGGAUUUAAAAAAUGAAGUUUGGGGAAAAAAAAAAAGGGUACUAUCUGAGGUGUGGAUGUGCUCAGUAACUUCACUGUGAUAAUCGUUUCACAAUGGACACACCUAUUAAACCACAUCACACACAGUUUAAAAAAAAUCAUGUUAUACAACCUAAGUAUAUACAAUUCUUGUCAAUCAUAUUUCAGUAGAGCUGGGGAGAAAAUGACCUUUGAGCAAUUUCAGAACUAGAAGGUGUUCCACAAUAAUAAAAAGACUUCAUAUCAAGUAGCGGCCACCUCGACUCUGGCACUGGCAAGACCACAGGGGAUACAUGCACAGGACUUGCUGAUGACAGAAGUCGGUUCAACUGAGUCAGACCAGGCCAAACUGGGGCAUCGGCUGCGCUUGGUGGAGAACACCUGGUUCCUUGUGUGUAGGGAUGGACACACACCCUCUGAGCCCUCUCCACAGUGUUUAUAGUCUGUUCACCAAUUACACCCCCGCUUGUUGAUGGGUGAAGCCUAACACAGCGCUCUCUGUUCAUGGCCUGGCUCCAUUCCAACCAUCUUUGAGACACGAUGCUGAGAAAUGCCCAGGUAUGUCAUCCAGCUCCCUAAGGACCAGGUGUGCCCUUCCUGACCGCAGCAGGAGACAUUUACUUACAUCCCCCUUCUUUCCUGACUGCCCUACAUGUACAUUUCAUCCGAUGAGUUACAAAACAUCUGCUUUGCUGUCUGCGCUGGUAUCUCCUUUCCCCCGGAUGGGAGCAUCCGGGCUUAUUCAUGAUCUACAGCCAAUUCCCCCAGUGAAUAUGGGCCAGGCGCCUUACUUGUCUUCAUUUCAAAGCCCCUUUCGGCUUUCAUUUCAGCUUCAUUUCAUUUCAUCUCAAAGUGAGGGGCUGGACUACAGUAUUUUUAGGGGCUCAUCCACACCCAACUCUUGGCAGAGCUGUUCAGAUCGAGGAUCCUGCUAAGUAUCUGGCUCAUGCUCUCAGCCUUCUAAGGGGAUAGGUUACUGAUAGGCUGUCCAAUGUCAGCAUUUCUCUAGUGACGUACCAUGAAAUAGUCUGUUCUCUCUCUCUCUCCCUCACUCCAUCUCUUUCUCUUCAUUUUCUUCCUGGUUCCCCACCCCAAGUUAAGGAGCAGCAGAAAGUCUGCUUAGUCUUAAACUGGGCACAGCUGUGUAUUCAAGAACCAUUAAUGAUGCCAUUUGGUU